AGCGAACGUUUGCGGCGGGCCUAACACAUGCAAGUCGAACGCACUAGGCAAUAGUGAGUGGCGCACGGGUGCGUAACACGUGGGUAAUCAACCCUUCAGCCUGGGAUAACGACUCGAAAGGGUCGCUAAUACCGGAUACGGCGCGAGAGGCUUCGGCUUCUCACGAGAAAGCCACGCAAGGGGCGACUGAAGGACGAGCCUGCGGCCCAUCAGCUAGUUGGUGAGGUAAGAGCUCACCAAGGCUAAGACGGGUAGCUGGUCUGAGAGGAUGAUCAGCCACACUGGAACUGAGACACGGUCCAGACUCCUACGGGAGGUAGCAGUGGGGGAAUUUUGGUACGAAUAGGGG
rnacentral:rRNA from 1 species